UCCAUCAGAAUCCCUUGCCAAGGACUCAAAGGAAGCAGCGUGGUCAGUCCCGAGUCCUCCCCACGCCGGCCUCAGGUGAUAUACAGUGGGUGUCGGGUUGCUGUUAGGCUGAAAUCCUUGCCGUCCCCUGCCUUCCUACUGCCUGCUCUUCCCCUGGGACGGCGGCAACCCUUUCCUUAUGGGAAGAUGGGUGAGCAUUUGCAGCCCAGGCUAUCAGGAAUCCCAGGCCUGCAGCGGCCUCCCUGAGUGCCUGGGGCAAUUCCAUGUCUACAGUUCUUCAGUUCCACAGUGGUGUCAAAGCUCAGGGUUCAUGGGGACACAGUCCUUUCCACUGGCAGAGACCGACUGGGACUUCCAGGUGGAGGUGCUGCAGUCAGCCAUGGGGGCAGGAAAGGGAAGGUCAGAUGCUGAGCAGGAGACCCUGGACUUGGAGUGUCACAGACAGAAGGCAACUUGGAGGGCAACCAG